GACCUACUCUGUGGAGUACCUGGACAGCAGCAAGCUGGCAGGGUACCUGCACACACUGGUGCAGAACCUGGUCAACAAUGGCUACGUGCGGGACGAGACUGUGCGCGCCGCCCCCUAUGACUGGCGGCUGGAGCCCGGCCAGCAGGAGGAGUACUACCGCAAGCUCGCAGGGCUGGUGGAGGAGAUGCACGCUGCCUAUGGGAAGCCUGUCUUCCUCAUUGGCCACAGCCUCGGCUGUCUACACUUGCUCUAUUUCCUGCUGCGCCAGCCCCAGGCCUGGAAGGACCGCUUUAUUGAUGGCUUCAUCUCUCUUGGGGCUCCCUGGGGUGGCUCCAUCAAGCCCAUGCUGGUCUUGGCCUCAGAGACAGGGUCUCACUGCAUUGCCUAGUCUGGUCACGGACUCCUGGCCUCAAGUGAUCCUCCUGCCUCAGCCUCCCAAAGUGUUGGGAUUACAGGGGUGAGCCAUGGUGCCUGUCCCUGCCAUCCUUUUGAAGCCCUACAGCUCCACCCAACAGAGGUCUUAUCAGGGCUUCUCAUUGAGUAAGCUGACACUGAGCAUCAUUGAAUAUCAGGCCUGCUCAAGCCUGUGGCUUAGAGUCUGUGUCUAGAUUGGGCAGGGACAAGAUUGAGCAUCUGGCUGAGCCUACACUCAGCAGGUUGUGGGCCAGGGGUAGCCAGGCCUGGCUCCCUGUCCCACCUUGCUCCAUAUCCACAGGUGACAACCAGGGCAUCCCCAUCAUGUCCAGCAUCAAGCUGAAAGAGGAGCAGCGCAUAACCACCACCUCCCCCUGGAUGUUUCCCUCUCGCAUGGCGUGGCCUGAGGACCACGUGUUCAUUUCCACACCCAGCUUCAACUACACAGGCCGUGACUUCCAACGCUUCUUUGCAGACCUGCACUUUGAGGAAGGCUGGUACAUGUGGCUGCAGUCACGUGACCUCCUGGCAGGA
rnacentral:lncRNA from 10 species